GAUCAUGGCUCAGAUUGAACGCUGGCGGCAUGCCUUACACAUGCAAGUCGAACGGCAGCACGGGUGCUUGCACCUGGUGGCGAGUGGCGAACGGGUGAGUAAUACAUCGGAACGUACCUUAUCGUGGGGGGAUAACGCAGCGAAAGCUGUGCUAAUACCGCAUACGCCCUGAGGGGGAAAGCGGGGGAUCGAAAGACCUCGCGCGAUUAGAGCGGCCGAUAUCUGAUUAGCUUGUUGGUGGGGUAAAAGCCCACCAAGGCGACGAUCAGUAGCUGGUCUGAGAGGACGAUCAGCCACACUGGGACUGAGACACGGUCCAGACUCCUACGGGAGGCAGCAGUGGGGAAUUUUCCGCAAUGGGCGAAAGCCUGACGGAGCAAUACCGCGUGAGGGAAGAAUGCCUAUGGGUUGUAAACCUCUUUUUUCAGGGAGGAAUAAAAUGACGUGUACCUGAAGAAUAAGCAUCGGCUAACUCCGUG
rnacentral:rRNA from 1 species